rnacentral:rRNA from 1 species
UACGUAGGUGGCAAGCGUUGUCCGGAAUUACUGGGCGUAAAGAGCUCGUAGGUGGUUUGUCGCGUUGUCCGUGAAAACUCACAGCUUAACUGUGGGCGUGCGGGCGAUACGGGCAGGCUGGAGUACUGCAGGGGAGACUGGAAUUCCUGGUGUAGCGGUGAAAUGCGCAGAUAUCAGGAGGAACACCGGUGGCGAAGGCGGAUCUCUGGGCCUUACCUGACGCUCAGGCGCGAAAGCUAGGGGAGCGAACAGG